AGCAAGAAAGCUCCACAGCUGGUGGCCAGUGCUGCAGGCCAGCGUGGCUCCCUGGGCUUCUCUGUAGGGCUGUGUUAUCACGCUUCCCCGGGUCCGGUGCUCUGUGCAAACGUAGCCUCUUUCCUGCUCCAGGAUGGGCAAGGCACAGGGGAGGUUUCAGGUGGAGAGAAAUUGAUUUAGUGGCCACUGCUUCUGAGGCUGGAGGACCUGCCUGAGGCAGAGGGUGUGGACUUGUUCUGGGAGGACCCAGAAGGCAGAACCACGGAAGGCUACCAAGGGAGAGAUGAGGACACUGAGGCUCAGAGGGCUGACAUGCCAAGCCCCAGGGCACAGGAAGGCAGGCCUCUGCUUCCACCUCACAUCCCCCAGUGCCUCUGGAAACCGCAGCCUGUGGAGGGCCUGAGGUCGCUUAUCACCUGUCUCUGCAGCUCAUCCUCAGCAAAGACUGAGGGUCCUUGAUGCUGUCCGGGUCCUUGAUGCUGUCCCCAUCUUUAUGCCAGGUCUCAUCUCAGAGGCAGGCUCAGGAAGGGAGCUGGGAGAUGCCGGCAGAGGGCCCAGGAGAGGCACACUGCCCACCAGCUAGGAGCUGCUUCUGACCUCGCUGGCCGAUGGCCGGGGACCCUGGCCCCUCCCAACCCCAGGGACACAAAGCAGAAGAUCCCAGAAUGGGGAUGGGGAGAGAGGACCAUCUUGUUCAACUUCCUCAUUCUAUACCAGGAAAACAGGCAUCGGAGAAGGGAAGAGAUACCUCAAGGUCAACGCCAAGUCCAGCAGCUGCUGCUCUCCUGAGUCCUCCACGUGGACUUCUUCUGCGUUCCCACAUCUCAUUCCUCCAAUUUUUUUUUAAAAAUUGUUAGUAGUAGCAUAAUACUAAGAAAGCACUAUUCAAAGGAACAAGAAGACCCACCGUGUGCGGAACGGUCACUGUGCACCAGGCAACGUGACCCGCAAUUUUCUCUCCUAUAAAACGGGGAUGAGAACAGGGCCUCCCCUGCUGACUCAUGGGAAGAGGUUAAGAUCAAAGGUGACAGUGGACAUGAAUCAGCAUUUUAUAAACCACAAGACAUUGUCA